UUCACGUACAGGACUUGUAAUCAGGCGGAAGCUUGCUGGAGCAGGAGGUCGUCAGACUUGACGCAAAGCUCCAACAGCAGGAGUAAACCCUGAAAGACCAUACAGAAGCAAAAGGGUCAAGUUACAAGGAGAAGAUGCAGGCAGCUGCAACAACGGAUGAAAACAGACCCAAAGAGGAGGGGAGGACCCUAGGCCAUGCGUCAGGCCGCUGGUUUACCUAAACUACAGAACAGGAAGGUGAUGAACACAAACAUACACCAACACACGAAUACACACUUCUGCAUGCGCCGACUUAGAAUGAAGAGAAACACACACAUGAACACUUAUGCACUCGCUAAGGGAGUAAAAACUGAUACAUACCCAUGCACUAAAAUCAAAAUGUUGAUUUAAUUUACUAAGAAGUGACACACAAUGCUCCAGCUGCUGCAAUGAAGAAUGCUUUACUGACAAAGGCUCAAUGCUGCACACGACAACGUCAAAUACAGAAUUUGCUAUAAUAAUAAGCCCAGAGGGCAUUUGUGUGGUCUGGGGAGCAGAGUCCGGAGCGGUUUGGUUAUGAAAACGAUGCCCGUGGGACCAUGAAGAUUUUUUGGUACAGAUUGCAAGUUGUUGCUCAUUAUUGAAGUGUGUUCAUAAAGGCCAAAAGCUAUAUAGGGGGUCUAUCAUUUGGUCUGUGUUUUAAUAAUUUAGGUAUGGCAAAAUUAAAGGUUUCUAGACAAUUUAGGGAACGAGUGAGAAGCAUAAUUAGAUGAUCAGAAACUGAGUACUACACUCAUGUUAGAAUUGAGAAUGCCCAAUUUGUUUGAGGUCUGUUGUUCAUUUUUAUACACACCUUGCAAAUGUGCUUAUAAGGAGCUGGCACUUAGUCUGUGAAGGUCAAAAGCUUCAUCCGACAACGGAUCGGAUUGAUAUAUUGGUGCUAUUGACUUCACGUGCAGAGGGUUAAAUGCAUGCACGCUUACACACAUAAGCAUGGCAUAGGAUUGGAAUAAACAAAGUCAACGACAUUAGGUUAGGAGAGCCAGCGCAGGAGAGGUGUUGGCUUUCUGUCUCUUGCAGAGAAGGGAACAAACACCAGACGGGGACACGGAGAUAUGGGGACCCUUCACAGCAACUGGGGUCAAGUGUCAUGGCCUUGGGGCUCCUUGAUAAGAUGGAUCCCAUAACCACAGCGAUAACCAGGAAGGGGUUGGCUAAAACUAGGAACACCAGAGACCAACGUGGUUCGAGAGGCUUUUGGCAAAAAGGGGGACACGGCGGUCACAACGGACAACAAACACACAGAUCUGUGUAGCGACUGAAGGGUGGUCUAACCCCGGAAGUCGAAGAAAGAAGAAUCCGAGGGCGUUUCUUCACUCCAAGAGGAGGGGGUAAAGGGGCCUGAAGCGUGUCAGGCUGAAACUCGAGUCUGAAGCUAAAAGAACAGCUGGGGUGUGGGAAAAUUGGAAAACAACGGAGGCGUUGGGAUUGAUAAGUGUCAUAACGUGUUUGUUUGGUUUGGAAAUAAAUCCUGGUGUGAGUUGGGCUGGCAAGCCAGCCCAAAGAGGAGGAAUGUGACCAGGAGAUAUUUUAUUUUGUAUUCUUAUGAUCACAGUUAUAAUCAGAAGUAUCAAUCAUUAAUCAUUUACCAUUGUUGAACCAGUUGACAGAAUAAUCUUUGAACCAUAUCUAGGUUAACAUUAAUCUACACAGAUUAUCAGUACUCUAAUCAGUCUAUUGUUGUUCUGUACUAUUCAUGUUAUUUGCUUAAAGCUGUUUCACAGUUCUGUAAUCACUCAGAAGCCUGUGGGGCCUGCUGGACCCUGCCUUGGUUCCAUGUUCCGUUCUGCACGUACACAGGCCUUGAAAGUACAUGCACGCUCUUAUACAACACAUGAAUGUGUACA
ensembl:lncRNA